GCCGACAUAGCUCAGUUGGGAGAGCGUCAGACUGAAGAUCUGAAGGUCCUUGCUGCA
rfam:Nematostella vectensis strain CH2 x CH6 NEMVEscaffold_279_Cont22159, whole genome shotgun sequence.